rnacentral:lncRNA from 1 species
UCGGGCGUCCAGAAGCACAAUUGAAGCGAGAAAAAUUGACGUCUAUGGCCCAGGCGGUGGCCCUCGAUGCCCGGGCGGCGGAGCUUCGUAGCCUGGGCAUCCAAAUCUGACGCUUGGGCCUUACAUGACCCUCAAUUCACGCCCAGGCGGCCCCCUACGACACUUGAGCAAGAAUUCACGUGGAUCGAGCCUUGUUUCUGCUUUGUUUUGAUUCUUUUGGACCAGAAAUCGC